GCCGGCUCCUGGAAGUUGAGAGGGGGGCGACGGUGACGUGGUAGCUGCCACUGCGGCCGCCGCGGGACAAUAAGCCAGGAUCUGCCAUACCUAUUGAUUAACUAUGGAAGAUUAUACCAAAAUAGAGAAAAUUGGAGAAGGUACCUAUGGAGUUGUGUAUAAGGGUAGACACAAAACUACAGGCCAAGUGGUAGCCAUGAAGAAAAUCAGACUAGAAAGUGAAGAGGAAGGGGUUCCUAGUACUGCAAUUCGGGAAAUUUCUCUAUUAAAAGAACUUCGUCAUCCAAAUAUAGAGCUAGGAGACUGCAUCGAGUCGGAACAGGUCAUUAAGCUGAAGCAAAAGUUCACUGAAGCAAAGGCACCUAUUGUUUAUCUCGCAAAAUAA